AACGAACGCUGGCGGCAUGCCUAACACAUGCAAGUCGAACGAGACCUUCGGGUCUAGUGGCGCACGGGUGCGUAACGCGUGGGAACCUGCCCUUAGGUUCGGAAUAACUCCCCGAAAGGGGUGCUAAUACCGGAUAAUGUCUUCGGACCAAAGAUUUAUCGCCUUUGGAUGGGCCCGCGUUGGAUUAGCUAGUUGGUAGGGUAAAAGCCUACCAAGGCGACGAUCCAUAGCUGGUCUGAGAGGAUGAUCAGCCACACUGGGACUGAGACACGGCCCAGACUCCUACGGGAGGCAGCAGUGGGGAAUAUUGGACGAUGGGCGCAAGCCUGAUCCAGCAAUGCCGCGUGAGUGAUGAAGGCCUUAGGGUUGUAAAGCUCUUUUACCCGGGAUGAUAAUGACAGUACCGGGAGAAUAAGCUCCGGCUAACUCCGUG
rnacentral:rRNA from 1 species